GGAGAGUUCGCAUAGCGGUCUAGUGCGCUCGCUUGGAAAGCGGGUAGGGAAGCAAUUCCCUCAGGAGUUCGAAUCUCCUACUCUCCG
rnacentral:tRNA from 1 species